CUACGUGCCAGCAGCCGCGGUAAUACGUAGGUGGCAAGCGUUGUCCGGAUUUAUUGGGCGUAAAGCGAGUGCAGGCGGUUCAAUAAGUCUGAUGUGAAAGCCUUCGGCUCAACCGGAGAAUUGCAUCAGAAGCUGUUGAACUUGAGUGCAGAAGAGGAGAGUGGAACUCCAUGUGUAGCGGUGGAAUGCGUAGAUAUAUGGAAGAACACCAGUGGCGAAGGCGGCUCUCUGGUCUGCAACUGACGCUGAGGCUCGAAAGCAUGGGUAGCG
rnacentral:rRNA from 1 species